GACGAACGCUGGCGGCGUGCUUAACACAUGCAAGUCGAACGAAAAGGCCCUGCUCUUGUGGGGUGCUCGAGUGGCGAACGGGUGAGUAACACGUGAGUAACCUGCCCUUGACUUUGUGAUAACUUCAGGAAACUGGGGCUAAUACCGGAUAGGAGCUCCUGCUGCAUGGUGGGGGUUGGAAAGUUUCGGCGGUUGGGGAUGGACUCGCGGCUUAUCAGCUGGUUGGUGGGGUAGUGGCUUACCAAGGCUUUGACGGGUAGCCGGCCUGAGAGGGUGAACGGCCACAUUGGGACUGAGAUACGGCCCAGAAUCCUACGGGAGGCAGCAGUGGGGAAUAUUGCACAAUGGGCGGAAGUCUGAUGCAGCAAUGCCGCGUGCGGGAUGACGGCUUUCGGGUUGUAAACAGCUUUGGACUGAGCCGAAGCCUGAGUGACGGUAAUGGGUAAAGAAGCCACGGCUAACUACGUG
rnacentral:rRNA from 1 species